rnacentral:rRNA from 1 species
UGGAUCAGCAUGCCACGGUGAAUACGUUCCCGGGUCUUGUACACACCGCCCGUCACACCAUGGGAGCUGGUAACACCCGAAGUCAGUAGUCUAACCGCAAGGAGGACGCUGCCGAAGGUGGGAUUAGCGACUGGGGUGAAGUCGUAACAAGGUAUC